rnacentral:rRNA from 1 species
UUUAUGGAGAGUUUGAUCCUGGCUCAGGAUGAACGCUGGCGGCGUGCCUAAUACAUGCAAGUCGAGCGAACGGACGAGAAGCUUGCUUCUCUGAUGUUAGCGGCGGACGGGUGAGUAACACGUGGAUAACCUACCUAUAAGACUGGGAUAACUUCGGGAAACCAUAGCUAAUACCGGAUAAUAUUUUGAACCGCAUGGUUCAAAAGUGAAAGACGGUCUUGCUGUCACUUAUAGAUGGAUCCGCGCUGCAUUAGCUAGUUGGUAAGGUAACGGCUUACCAAGGCAACGAUGCAUAGCCGACCUGAGAGGGUGAUCGGCCACACUGGAACUGAGACACGGUCCAGACUCCUACGGGAGGCAGCAGUAGGGAAUCUUCCGCAAUGGGCGAAAGCCUGACGGAGCAACGCCGCGUGAGUGAUGAAGGUCUUCGGAUCGUAAAACUCUGUUAUUAGGGAAGAACAUAUGUGUAAGUAACUGUGCACAUCUUGACGGUACCUAAUCAGAAAGCCACGGCUAACUACGUGCCAGCAGCCGCGGUAAUACGUAGGUGGCAAGCGUUAUCCGGAAUUAUUGGGCGUAAAGCGCGCGUAGGCGGUUUUUUAAGUCUGAUGUGAAAGCCCACGGCUCAACCGUGGAGGGUCAUUGGAAACUGGAAAACUUGAGUGCAGAAGAGGAAAGUGGAAUUCCAUGUGUAGCGGUGAAAUGCGCAGAGAUAUGGAGGAACACCAGUGGCGAAGGCGACUUUCUGGUCUGUAACUGACGCUGAUGUGCGAAAGCGUGGGGAUCAAACAGGAUUAGAUACCCUGGUAGUCCACGCCGUAAACGAUGAGUGCUAAGUGUUAGGGGGUUUCCGCCCCUUAGUGCUGCAGCUAACGCAUUAAGCACUCCGCCUGGGGAGUACGACCGCAAGGUUGAAACUCAAAGGAAUUGACGGGGACCCGCACAAGCGGUGGAGCAUGUGGUUUAAUUCGAAGCAACGCGAAGAACCUUACCAAAUCUUGACAUCCUUUGACAACUCUAGAGAUAGAGCCUUCCCCUUCGGGGGACAAAGUGACAGGUGGUGCAUGGUUGUCGUCAGCUCGUGUCGUGAGAUGUUGGGUUAAGUCCCGCAACGAGCGCAACCCUUAAGCUUAGUUGCCAUCAUUAAGUUGGGCACUCUAAGUUGACUGCCGGUGACAAACCGGAGGAAGGUGGGGAUGACGUCAAAUCAUCAUGCCCCUUAUGAUUUGGGCUACACACGUGCUACAAUGGACAAUACAAAGGGCAGCGAAACCGCGAGGUCAAGCAAAUCCCAUAAAGUUGUUCUCAGUUCGGAUUGUAGUCUGCAACUCGACUACAUGAAGCUGGAAUCGCUAGUAAUCGUAGAUCAGCAUGCUACGGUGAAUACGUUCCCGGGUCUUGUACACACCGCCCGUCACACCACGAGAGUUUGUAACACCCGAAGCCGGUGGAGUAACCUUUUAGGAGCUAGCCGUCGAAGGUGGGACAAAUGAUUGGGGUGAAGUCGUAACAAGGUAGCCGUAUCGGAAGGUGCGGCUGGAUCACCUCCUUU